rnacentral:rRNA from 2 species
AAUCCAUAGGUUAAUGAGGCGAACCGGGGGAACUGAAACAUCUAAGUACCCCGAGGAAAAGAAAUCAACCGAGAUUCCCCCAGUAGCGGCGAGCGAACGGGGAGGAGCCCAGAGCCUGAAUCAGCAUGUGUGUUAGUGGAAGCGUCUGGAAAGGCGCGCGAUACAGGGUGACAGCCCCGUACACAAAAGCGCAUGUGCUGUGAGCUCGAUGAGUAGGGCGGGACACGUGGUAUCCUGUCUGAAUAUGGGGGGACCAUCCUCCAAGGCUAAAUACUCCUGACUGACCGAUAGUGAACCAGUACCGUGAGGGAAAGGCGAAAAGAACCCCGGCGAGGGGAGUGAAAAAGAACCUGAAACCGUGUACGUACAAGCAGUGGGAGCACAGGUUUACCUGUGUGACUGCGUACCUUUUGUAUAAUGGGUCAGCGACUUAUAUUCUGUAGCAAGGUUAACCGAAUAGGGGAGCCGGAGGGAAACCGAGUCUUAAUUGGGCGUUAAGUUGCAGGGUAUAGACCCGAAACCCGGUGAUCUAGCCAUGGGCAGGUUGAAGGUUGGGUAACACUAACUGGAGGACCGAACCGACUAAUGUUGAAAAAUUAGCGGAUGACCUGUGGCUGGGGGUGAAAGGCCAAUCAAACCGGGAGAUAGCUGGUUCUCCCCGAAAGCUAUUUAGGUAGCGCCUCGUGAAUUCAUCUCCGGGGGUAGAGCACUGUUUCGGCUAGGGGGCCAUCCCGGCUUACCAACCCGAUGCAAACUGCGAAUACCGGAGAAUGUUAUCACGGGAGACACACGGCGGGUGCUAACGUCCGUCGUGAAGAGGGAAACAACCCAGACCGCCAGCUAAGGUCCCAAAGUCAUGGUUAAGUGGGAAACGAUGUGGGAAGGCCCAGACAGCCAGGAUGUUGGCUUAGAAGCAGCCAUCAUUUAAAGAAAGCGUAAUAGCUCACUGGUCGAGUCGGCCUGCGCGGAAGAUGUAACGGGGCUAAACCAUGCACCGAAGCUGCGGCAGCGACACUGUGUGUUGUUGGGUAGGGGAGCGUUCUGUAAGCCUGUGAAGGUGGCCUGUGAGGGUUGCUGGAGGUAUCAGAAGUGCGAAUGCUGACAUAAGUAACGAUAAAGCGGGUGAAAAGCCCGCUCGCCGGAAGACCAAGGGUUCCUGUCCAACGUUAAUCGGGGCAGGGUGAGUCGACCCCUAAGGCGAGGCCGAAAGGCGUAGUCGAUGGGAAACAGGUUAAUAUUCCUGUACUUGGUGUUACUGCGAAGGGGGGACGGAGAAGGCUAUGUUGGCCGGGCGACGGUUGUCCCGGUUUAAGCGUGUAGGCUGGUUUUCCAGGCAAAUCCGGAAAAUCAAGGCUGAGGCGUGACGACGAGGCACUACGGUGCUGAAGCAACAAAUGCCCUGCUUCCAGGAAAAGCCUCUAAGCAUCAGGUAACAUCAAAUCGUACCCCAAACCGACACAGGUGGUCAGGUAGAGAAUACCAAGGCGCUUGAGAGAACUCGGGUGAAGGAACUAGGCAAAAUGGUGCCGUAACUUCGGGAGAAGGCACGCUGACACGUAGGUGAAGUGAUUUACUCAUGGAGCUGAAGUCAGUCGAAGAUACCAGCUGGCUGCAACUGUUUAUUAAAAACACAGCACUGUGCAAACACGAAAGUGGACGUAUACGGUGUGACGCCUGCCCGGUGCCGGAAGGUUAAUUGAUGGGGUCAGCGCAAGCGAAGCUCCUGAUCGAAGCCCCGGUAAACGGCGGCCGUAACUAUAACGGUCCUAAGGUAGCGAAAUUCCUUGUCGGGUAAGUUCCGACCUGCACGAAUGGCGUAAUGAUGGCCAGGCUGUCUCCACCCGAGACUCAGUGAAAUUGAACUCGCUGUGAAGAUGCAGUGUACCCGCGGCAAGACGGAAAGACCCCGUGAACCUUUACUAUAGCUUGACACUGAACAUUGAGCCUUGAUGUGUAG